UGCGUAGGGUGCAAGCGUUGUCCGGAAUCAUUGGGCGUAAAGAGCGUGUAGGCGGCUUGAUCAGUCCGCUGUAAAAGUCCAGGGCUCAACCCUGGAAGGCCGGUGGAUACUGUCAGGCUAGAGUCCGGAAGAGGCGAGUGGAAUUCCUGGUGUAGCGGUGAAAUGCGCAGAUAUCAGGAGGAACACCAAUGGCGAAGGCAGCUCGCUGGGACGGUACCGACGCUGAGACGCGAAAGCGUGGGGAGCAAACAGG
rnacentral:rRNA from 1 species